AACGAACGCUGGCGGCAUGCCUAACACAUGCAAGUCGAACGGGUGGUAGCAAUACCACCAGUGGCAGACGGGUGCGUAACACGUGGGAACCUGCCCAGAGGUUCGGAAUAGCUGCGGGAAACUGCAGGUAAUACCGAAUGUUGCCUGAGGGCUAAAGAGCAAUUCGCCUUUGGAGGGGCCCGCGUCGGAUUAGCUAGUUGGUGGGGUAACGGCCCACCAAGGCGACGAUCCGUAGCUGGCUGAGAGGAUGGCCAGCCACACUGGAACUGAGACACGGCCCAGACUCCUACGGGAGGCAGCAGUGGGGAAUCUUGCGCAAUGGGCGAAAGCCUGACGCAGCGACGCCGCGUGAGGGAUGACGGCCU
rnacentral:rRNA from 1 species